rnacentral:lncRNA from 1 species
AAACAGAUACUAGACAUCACAAAAAUGUUAUUCCCUUCUCUCCCUUGUUUUUGGAAAUCCAUACAAGGAGAGAGACUGAAGGCUGUUAUAGAGACAGGAGGUGCUGCCUCUUAGUCUGUCCAAAGCAGCAAACAAUAAUAUUCUCCGUAACAAACAGCUAAGACAACAGCGUGGUGCUCGCUACUUCCCACAAGGCUCCAGAUGCUGGUGUGAGACCAAUCACAAAGCUAGGCAGGAAAAUCCAGACCUUCCAGCCUCCUCCUAGUUAAUACACCCAUAACUGGUUCAGAUGAUGCUUAUUAAUGACUGUUGUCAAAAUUACUAAAUAUAAAAAAACUAUUUGAAUUAAGGACAGUGUAGGAGGAAAGGGAUUAAACUGCACAGUUCUCAGUGUGGUAUUGAUGCCUAGUAAUAUUUUCUUAGUGCAUUUCUUGUUAAUAGAAACUGAUAGUUUCAUAUAAGAUGGAAUAAAUUUACUUUAAUACAUGAAAUCUAGUAUCAGGUAGGAUUUGGAUACACCCCCUCUACAUAAAAUCUCUCAGAGGACCUCAGUGUCUCACAUUUGUGAAGCUGUGUGUGGCAGACUAAGUCUAUAUUUGCUGCUGCAGCAAACAAACAUUUACACCUAAUGAUGACAAGUGUAUCCUCUUUAUGCCACAAACAAUUGAUUUUCAAGCAAAGAUAAAAGAAUUAUAUAUUAUGUAUUCCAUCUGUAAAACUAAUUAACUCCUUUGAUUUAGCUGAGAAAGGUGAUGUUUUCUGAAGCUCAGCUUUACUGAAAAUUGACCUUUCCAUCUACAAACAUACCGUUUAAUUUACAAGAGAAACAAAACCUUCGGAAUUGUAUUUACUCAGUAACUUUAAUAAAGGUCAACCCUUUUCAGAAACAAUUGUAAAUGUGGCAUUUAGCCUUUCAUACUUCAGAAAGUGUUACUUGAAUCUCCACAUCCAAGUAGAAGAUUGCCUUUGAAUUAAAAACAAUAAAUAAGAGCAAAGAAAUUUUGCAAAAUUGUCUAGAUCUAAGGUGUAAUUCACCCUUUGCUUUUAUAGUUCCCUGGGACUAUUUUCUGGAGUCUCCUGUGACUAAGGUCAACUAAUCUUCAAUAUGUAUAGUACAUAUAUAAUGCUUUUUAGAAGGUCCACCAAAUUCAGCAGGAAAUAGAAUAGGCUUUUUCUUUGACCUUUAGGAAGGAAACUUGGCAAAUUCAUUGAAGAAAAGCUUAUUCAUCUGAGAUAGGGAGGCCCCAGUCCAGAAAGCACUUUAGUAUAUGAUUGACUUUAAGUACGAGUAGCCCCACUGCAGCCAAUGGGUCUACUCCUGUGGUUGGAGGCAAGCAGCACUAGUUACGUAUUAUAUGUAUUGUACUUGAGCCCUGGGAUGUCAAGCUGGAGCAGAGCCCUGCUGUGUAAUGAGCUAAAAAAAACCCCAACUUUAGACUAUGCUAAAAAGCUGGCAAUUUCAGUGUUGUGGGUUUGCUGGUUUUGUUUGACUGAUUGUUUGUUUGUUUGUUUAUUAAGACCUUUCUGAGAUCAAAGAAUCAUUGCUCUGGUCUCCAGGUAUGGAAAGCGGCAUCCAGACAGAAUUUCCUUGUUCCUUCUGUCUCUUAUGCUUACGUGUACAGCUGGAAGGACUGAGAUUUUUAAUCUGCCAAUUUCCAAAUACAACAAAUGAAAGCCGUUUGAAUGAGAACUGCUUGAAGUUUGCACAAUCUAAGGAGAAAAUUAACCAAAUGAGAGAGCUAAGACAAGCAGGGAUUCAAAC